rnacentral:rRNA from 1 species
GAUAACCGCUGAAAGCAUCUAAGUGGGAAACUCGCCUCAAGAUUAGAUCCCUCAUCCCGUUAAGGGAGUAAGACCGCAGGAAGACUACCUGCUUGAUAGGCGGCGUGUGUAAGUGCAGUAAUGUAUUGAGCUAAGCCGUACUAAUGGUCGAGGGCUUAACAUA